rnacentral:rRNA from 1 species
AUUGAACGCUGGCGGCAUGCCUUACACAUGCAAGUCGAACGGCAGCGGACCUUCGGGUGCCGGCGAGUGGCGAACGGGUGAGUAAUAUAUCGGAACGUACCUUUCAGUGGGGGAUAACGUAGCGAAAGUUACGCUAAUGCCGCAUAUUCUGUGAGCAGGAAAGCAGGGGAUCGCAAGACCUUGCGCUGAUUGAGCGGCCGAUAUCAGAUUAGCUAGUUGGUGAGGUAAAGGCUCACCAAGGCGACGAUCUGUAGCGGGUCUGAGAGGAUGAUCCGCCACACUGGAACUGAGACACGGUCCAGACUCCUACGGGAGGCAGCAGUGGGGAAUUUUGGACAAUGGGCGCAAGCCUGAUCCAGCCAUGCCGCGUGAGUGAAGAAGGCCUCGGUUGUAAG